rnacentral:other from 1 species
UUAACCCUGCCAUGUUCGUGAAACGAAACAAUGUCCUUGAACCGUAAGCUCGAAUAUACGGAGCCUUGAAUGUGGUGGCAGCCGAUAUGCCUUGACUGGACAUCGAAAGCCGCCCUGCAGGUUCCACCUGUUUCUUAUCAGUUCAGAGGAACUGUUACCCACGGCAUUACGGCGGGGUUUUU